UUUUCAAGCGGCAAGUUUUCAUGGUCGAAAAAUUUCGCGGUCUCCAAAAGGUUAUAGGCGCGCUUCCAAUUCCCAAAUUGUGAAUGAAAGAUGUGAUUGGGUCUUGUUCUUCUCUCACUCCGACUCCCUCCACAAGUCCAACGACAUCCUCGCCUCCUCCGGCGACUACCUCCGCCUCUGGGAGGUCAAAGACUCCUCCGUUGACCGCCUCGAGCCCAUCUCCGUCCUCAACAACUCCAAGACCAGCGAGUUCUGUGCGCCGCUUACGUCAUUCGACUGGAACGAGAUCGAGCCUCGGCGAAUCGGAACCUCCAGCUUCGACACCACCUGUACGAUUUGGGACAUCGAGAAGGGAGUCGUCGAGACGUAGCUGAUCGCUCACGAUAAGGAGGUUUACGACAUUGCGUGGGGCGAAGCUAGGGUUUUCGCCUCCGUCUCCGCCGACGGGUCGGUGAGGAUUUUUGAUCUCCGACUCAAAUCUUCUCCGACUCGUACCCAUCGACUCUGACUCCGACUCAGAUCUUCUCCUCUGCUCCUAUUGCCUUCUCCACUGCUCCUAUUGUUGCUACUUUUCAUAUAUCUAGUUCAAGGAUUGGCUGGAGAAGACGAAGAAGGAUUGACAAAUAAACGAUUGGCUUUUCGUAUUUCUGGAUUGGAAAUUUAGAAGUUGAUUUUGCGAUAUGUCCAGGGACUUCGUCCCAAUUUCUGUGUUUUCAGAGUCGUGAGAAGAUGGUGAUGUGCAGGUGAGGAAGAAGCUUUAUGUGCCGAGUGGAGGACAAGAAUAGUCACAUGAGAAUGCUCAACAUCUCGUGUUGAUGAUCUGGUUGCGAAUUCGAUGGAUAUUUUAAAAGCGGCUGCGGUGGAUGCCGAUGGAAAUGAAUGCGAAGACGUUUUACAGGCAAGGUGAUGAAGUUGAUUUGUUCCUCUAACCAGCAAAUCAUGCUCAAGUGAGGGAGGCAGAUCAAGCAGAAACACAAGCAAUGCAACUUGCAGAGUGAGUUGAUGGCUGCGAAGUCUACUGGAGCUCAGCAAUGAGGAGUUAGAGAUAGUCAAAGCUGGUGCAGCUCAGCAAAAUGAAGAGUUAGAGGCAGUGAAGGCUAGAGCCGCUGCACAAAAUGAAGAGUUGGAGGCACUAAAGGCAAGACAAAAUCAUACCGACAUACUUUUACUUAAAUUGAUGGUGCCGUUAUCCUCCCAAAACUGAUGAUUGGUCUAAGCUUAAAAAAAGUACAUCUUGCAAACUAUCAUUGAAGGCCGCCUUAUUGAACUUCUAGAAAGACUUGUAUGUAUUUCCAUUUAUUUUGAAAUUGCUGUUAAGGAUGGAUUGACAUUUGUAUAUUUUGGAUUUGCAAAUUUAAUUAGUAUGUCAGGAUAGAGAUACAUGUCUUAUAUUGUAUUGGAAUUGAGUAGUUUAAUAUUGAUAACUGGUAUUUGAGUACAUUUCGUUU